UCAGAGCAGGGGGUUAUGGGAGAUUAUACCCAAGUAAUAUGUUGGCAUGUAUGUAUGGAAGCAACUACCUGCCCACCAAAAUGGUGCUGCUGCUGCUGCCAUGUGGGUGAGACCUUAAUUCUGCUUGUUUGUCUGCGCGUCAGAGAGAGAGUGUGAGUGAGUGAGCAUUACAGUGCAGUAAGUGUGCCCGUGGCUACCUGUGGCUGCUGCACCGAGUUAACCCACCAGAUGCCACUGUCGGGCUGAAUGCAGAAUUUAUUCUGAUUUCCCGGUGCCUCCCACCUGUAAUUCACUUGUGGGAAUUGUAGUUCAGAGGAGUCUAUCUCACUCUUUCUCUCAUUCUGCACAGGGCCACCAGCAUGGAGCACAGUUCCUGCUGCUGUCGCUGACUCUGCUGUCACUGGAGAAGGAUGAAGGAGCCACCGGAUAAGAAGCCACCGGAGGGGGGUGAAAAAGUAUUUGCUGCUGAAUUUUAGAGCCUGGAAUAUCUGGAAAAAGAAGUAUUUACUAACAACCUCACCACCCACUGCCCAGUUCAACACUACCAGCCGCUGACUGAUUGGACCUCACCACGGUGCUACUUCCUGUCUCCAUUCAGACCUCGGUGAUGCACACACCUGGGACAUGUCUAUACUUUUCUGGCUUUAUUAUGUCUGUAUAUGCCAGUGGGUACAUGAGUAUACAGAGUACAUUCAAUGAUGGGGAAUGGAGGGAGAUUCCCAGGAAUGACCAUUAGAAACAGAAUCUCCAACCAGUUAAUCCAGUGUGAGAAUGCUUGGUGGAGCAGCUGUACCCACAGGAGGACUGGCACGUGUCACUCACAGAUGAAGGAGUAUCACAGAAGGCGACCACUCCAGCACCAACGGGAGGAAAGAAAAAAGAAUGAGAUCCUGAUAACCCGGCACAGCUCUCUCCAGAGCCAGUGAGUCAAACUGCUCAUUCAUUGAUCAUCCUGCCCAGUGUAUUUAUAACUAUCUCUCCUAUUCCUAUUCCAGUCUCUUAUUCAAAUCAGUGCAUGGUUGCUAGGGUAAUUUGGACCCUAGCAACCA